AGAGUUUGAUCCUGGCUCAGAAUCAACGCUGGCGGCGCGCCUAACACAUGCAAGUCGAACGAGAAAGUGGAGCAAUCCAUGAGUAAAGUGGCGUACGGGUGAGUAACACGUGGAUCAUCUGCCUUUUAGUGGGGAAUACCGCUGGGAAACCGGCGACAAUACCGCAUAAGCUCGAGAGAGGAAAGCCGAAAGGCGCUGAAAGAGGAGUCCGCGGUCGAUUAGCUAGUUGGUAGGGUAAUGGCCUACCAAGGCUGUGAUCGAUAGCCGGCCUGAGAGGGCACACGGCCACACUGGCACUGAAGCACGGGCCAGACUCCUACGGGAGGCAGCAGUGGGGAAUCUUGCACAAUGGGGGAAACCCUGAUGCAGCGACGCCGCGUGAGCGAUGAAGCCCUUCGGGGUGUAAAGCUCUUUCGGCAGGGAAGAUUAUGACGGUACCUGCAGAAGCAGCUGCGGCUAACUACGUGCCAGCAGCCGCGGUAAUACGUAGGCAGCAAGCGUUGUUCGGAGUUACUGGGCGUAAAGGGUGCGUAGGCGGCUCGAUAAGUAUGGUGUGAAAUUUCCCGGCUUAACUGGGAGGGUGCGCUAUAGACUGCCGGGCUAGAGUGUGGGAGAGGAAAGUGGAAUUCCUGGUGUAGCGGUGAAAUGCGUAGAUAUCAGGAGGAACACCGGUGGUGUAAACGGCUUUCUGGACCAUAACUGACGCUGAGGCACGAAAGCGUGGGUAGCAAACAGGAUUAGAUACCCUGGUAGUCCACGCCCUAAACGAUGCAUAUUUGGUGUG
rnacentral:rRNA from 1 species